GAGCACAAGUGCCUGUGCAUUGCACAAGAGACAGGCUAUAAGUUAGAAGCUUAUUAUGUAUAAUCCGUCAGGAAUUAGUUAAAUAUAAGGCUAAUACUGCAUUGAAUGUAUUACCUGAAAGAGGUAGGCUAGGACAUCUAUAUAUAGCGCCAUUGUGUGUGUGUGUGUGUGUACACACACACAGUUGAAGUUGGAAGUUUACACACAGUUGAAGUUGGAAGUUUACAUACACUUAGGUUGGAGUCAUUAAAACUUGUUUUCCAACCACUCCAUACAUUUCUUGUUAACAAACUAUAGUUUUGGUAAGUCGUUUAGGACAUCUACUUGUGCAUGACACAAGUAAUUUUUCCAACAGUUGUUUACGGACAGAUUAUUUCACUUAUAAUUCACUGUAUCACAAUUGCAGUGAACAACCAUCCCAACCGUGAAGCACGGGAGUGGCAACAUCAUGUUGUGGGGGUGCUUUGCUGCAGGAGGGUCUGGUGCACUUUACAAAAUAGAUGGCAUCAUGAGGUAGAAAAAUUUGGUGGGUAUAUUGAAGCAACAUCUCAAGACAUCAGCCAGGAAGUAAAAGCUUGGUCGCAAAUGGGUCUUCCAAAUGGACAAUGACCCCAAGCAUACUUCCAAAGUUGUGGCAAAAUGGUUUAAGGACAACAAAGUCACGGUAUUGGAGUGGCCAUCACAAAGCCCUGACCUCAAUCCUAUAGAACAUUUGUGGGCAGAACUGAAAAGCGUGUGCAAGCAAGGAGGCCUACAAACCUGACUGUUACACCAGCUCUGUCAGGAGGAAUGGGCCAAAAUUCCCCCAACUUAUUGUAGGAAGCUUGUGGAAGGCUACCCAAAACGUUUGACCGAAAUUAAACAAUUUAAAGGUAAUGCUACCAAAUACUAAUUGAGCGCAUGUAAACUUCUGACCCACUGGGAAUGUGAUGAAAGAAAUAAAAGUUGAAAUAAAUCAUUCUCUAUUAUUAUCCUGACAUUUCACAUUCUUAAAAUAAAGUGGUGAUCCUAACUGACCUAAGACAGGGAAUUUUUACUAGGAUUAAAUGUCAGGAAUUGUGAAAAACUGAGUUUAAAUGUAUUUGGCUAAGGUGUAUGUAAACAUCCGACUCCAACUGUAUAUUUAUGCUGUUCAUAUACAUCAUUUAUUAUAUUUUACUGGUUUCUUUCAGUUAUUUAAGUGGUUUUAGGUAGUAAAUCUCAGUAAACCUACUAUGAAUACUUUAUGAAGUCACUGUAUAUUUAAGUGGUCCUGGGGGCUCCCGAUGGUGCUGGGGGCAUCUCAGUGCAAGAGGUGUCACUACAGUCCCUGGUUCAAAUCCAGGCUGUAUCACAUCUGGCUGUGAUUGGGAGUCCACAAUUGGUUUGGGUAGGCCCUCAUUGUAAAUAAGAAUUUGUUCUUAACUGACUUGCCUAGUUAAGUAUAAUUAGUAUCAAUAUUGUGUGUUUCUAGUUUGUCAGUUAGUUGCUUAAAAUGUUGUAUUUUUGAAUUCAAGUGGCUGCACGGUCCCGUGUGGCUCAGUCGGUAGAGCAUGGCGCUUGCAACGCCAGGGUUGUGGGUUCAAUUCCCACGGGGGGACCAGGGUUCAAUUCCCACGGGGGGACCAGGAUGAAUAUGUAUGAACUUUCCAAUUUGUAAGUCGCUCUGGAUAAGAGCGUCUGCUAAAUGACUUAAAUGUAAUGUAAAUGCAUCUGACAUUAGUGAUAGCUAGCUAUCGUUAGCGAACGGCUUUCAAGGAAGGAUGUUUUUUUUACAUCCGCUUUCUGCAUGAAAUCCCGAAAUGAACUGUCAAAUCCCGAAAUGAGCUGUGAACUGUCAAUGUCCAUCGAAUUGCAAAAUUGACAUCAAGACUCCAGCCAGCAAACUGGAGAAAGAUUUUAUGCUGUAUGCUCAUAAUGUUUGAUGUACGCAGGUAAGUUGCAUUCUACUGCUGAUUAUCUGCUUAUGUGUAAUAUUUCUGACUUGUUUGUCACGGUGUCAAACAGAGACGAGUGGAGAGGUCAGUGUGAGGGCCUGUUGCUACGGGUCAAUAAAGAAGAACAAGAAGCCACACAGUCUUGAGAGGUUUGAAUCCCGGGCCCAUUGACAAGAUGGUUAUAUCCAAGCCUACACCAAACGAUAUGGCAGAAGGAGUGUGUACAAAAGCACACAAAGGGAUGGUUCGACUGUUGCUGGAUCUCUCUGUGCUGAAGGUGGAAGAGACUUACAGGAAUUUCCACACUCUGGACAAACCCCUGGUGAAAACCAUGGGCAUGACUGUUGACAAGCCUCUAGUGGACUCUGCUUCCGGGUUGGUGCAGAAGGGGAGUGUCCUAUCUUACCAGCAGCCGAAGCUUACAACUAAGCACAUCAAACUCCAGCAAGAUGCUCCACAAAAAUCCAUACCUACCUCUAAUCGAAUACCAGCUUGGGCCAUCGCAGUGCAUGUUUGUUUCCCAUGGAGUGGCCACCUUUUGGGUUGGUUGAAAUAAAGUGCCCCAAUGUAAAAAUUGUUGAUAUAAAUAUCUGCAAAUGCAACAUGGCACUUUUACCCUACGGAGGAGCCAUGCGUACUAUUGGCAGGUGCAAGGCCAACUGCUCGUCCCUGGGCUCGAGUGGUGUGACUGUCUAUGCCCAGGAAGACGUGCUUGUGCAGCGACUGCAUCUUGAACCUGAGGUCACAGCGGUGAUCAGAGAGACGGCAGACUCCUAUUAUUCCAACGUGUUCAUUCAGAAGUACUUGUCUGUGAAGCCACAGUACUAAAUCUGUUUCAGCCCAAGCGCAGCCCCACAAUGUGUGAAGCCCUUACAGAAUAUUGAACUCAUUUCUUGUUGAUGAUUGAUUUGUUAUACAGUCUUUUGAUCAUGCUGUCUGUGCAUCCACUAUUUUUUGAUUAAAAAAUGCCAAAGUUAUAGUUCAA